AGAAUCAACGCUGGCGGCGUGCCUAACACAUGCAAGUCGAACGAGAAAGGGUAGCAAUACCUGAGUAAAGUGGCGCACGGGUGAGUAACACGUGACUAACCUACCCUGGAGUGGGGGGAUAACUGAGGGAAACCUUAGCUAAUACCGCAUAAUACCUACGGGUCAAAGGAGCAAUUCGCUUCAGGAGGGGGUCGCGGCCGAUUAGUUAGUUGGCGGGGUAAUGGCCCACCAAGACGAUGAUCGGUAUCCGGCCUGAGAGGGCGCACGGACACACUGGAACUGAAACACGGUCCAGACUCCUACGGGAGGCAGCAGUGGGGAAUUUUGCGCAAUGGGGGAAACCCUGACGCAGCAACGCCGCGUGGAGGAUGAAGUCCUUCGGGACGUAAACUCCUUUCGAUCGGGACGAUUAUGACGGUACCGGAAGAAGAAGCCCCGGCUAACUUCGCGCCAGCAGCCGC
rnacentral:rRNA from 1 species